rnacentral:rRNA from 1 species
UACGUAGGGGGCGAGCGUUGUCCGGAGUUACUGGGCGUAAAGGGCGUGCAGGCGGUGCGGUAAGUUUAGCGUGACAGUCUCCGGCUUAACUGGAGAAGGCCGCUGAAAACUGCUGGACUUGAGGGCCAGAGAGGGACAUAGAAUUCCGGGUGGAGUGGUGAAAUGCGUAGAUAUCCGGAGGAAUACCAAAGGCGAAGGCAGUGUCCUGGCUGGCAACUGACGCUGAGGCGCGAAAGCUAGGGGAGCAAACAGG